GACGAACGCUGGCGGCGUGCUUAACACAUGCAAGUCGAACGGAAAGGCCCCCUUGUGGGGUACUCGAGUGGCGAACGGGUGAGUAACACGUGAGUAACCUACCCUUGACUUUGGGAUAACUUCAGGAAACUGGGGCUAAUACCGGAUAGGAGCUCCUGCUGCAUGGUGGGGGUUGGAAAGUUUCGGCGGUUGGGGAUGGACUCGCGGCUUAUCAGCUUGUUGGUGGGGUAGUGGCUCACCAAGGCUUUGACGGGUAGCCGGCCUGAGAGGGUGACCGGCCACAUUGGGACUGAGAUACGGCCCAGACUCCUACGGGAGGCAGCAGUGGGGAAUAUUGCACAAUGGGCGGAAGCCUGAUGCAGCAACGCCGCGUGCGGGAUGACGGCCUUCGGGUUGUAAACCGCUUUCGCCUGUGACGAAGCGUGAGUGACGGUAAUGGGUAAGAAGCACCGGCUAACUACGUG
rnacentral:rRNA from 1 species